rnacentral:rRNA from 1 species
UACGGAGGGUGCGAGCGUUGUCCGGAUUUAUUGGGUUUAAAGGGUGCGUAGGCGGUCUUGUAAGUCUGGGGUGAAAGCCCGUUGCUCAACAACGGAACUGCCCUGGAAACUGCGGGGACUUGAGUACAGACGAGGGUGGCGGAAUGGAUGCUGUAGCGGUGAAAUGCAUAGAUAGCAUCCAGAACCCCCGAUUGCGAAGCAGCUGCCUAGACUGUAACUGACGUGAGGCACGAAAAGCGUGGGGGAGCGAACAGG